rnacentral:rRNA from 1 species
GGUUAAGUUAGAAAGGGCGCACGGUGGAUGCCUUGGCACUAGGAGCCGAAGAAGGACGGGACUAACACCGAUAUGCUUUGGGGAGCUGUACGUAAGCGUUGAUCCAGAGAUUUCCGAAUGGGGGAACCCACUAUCUUUAGUCGGAUAGUAUCCUUACGUGAAUACAUAGCGUGAGGAAGGCAGACCCAGGGAACUGAAACAUCUAAGUACCUGGAGGAAGAGAAAGAAAAAUCGAUUUCCUGAGUAGCGGCGAGCGAAACGGAAAGAGCCCAAACCAAGAAGCUUGCUUCUUGGGGUUGUAGGACACUCUAUACGGAGUUACAAAAGAAAGUUAUAAAUGAAGCGGUCUGGAAAGGCCCGCCAAAGACGGUAACAGCCCGGUAGUUGAAAUGGCUUUCCCUCCAGAGUGGAUCCUGAGUACGGCGGAACACGUGAAAUUCCGUCGGAAUCCGGGAGGACCAUCUCCCAAGGCUAAAUACUCCCUAGUGACCGAUAGUGAACCAGUACCGUGAGGGAAAGGUGAAAAGCACCCCGGAAGGGGAGUGAAACAGUUCCUGAAACCGUGUGCCUACAAGUAGUUAGAGCCCGUUAAUGGGUGAUAGCGUGCCUUUUGUAGAAUGAACCGGCGAGUUACGAUUUGUUGCAAGGUUAAGCGGAAAAAGCGGAGCCGUAGCGAAAGCGAGUCUGAAUAGGGCGCAUAAGUAACAGGUCGUAGACCCGAAACCAGGUGAUCUACCCAUGUCCAGGAUGAAGGUAAGGUAAUACUUACUGGAGGUCCGAACCCACGCACGUUGAAAAGUGCGGGGAUGAGGUGUGGGUAGCGGAGAAAUUCCAAUCGAACUUGGAGAUAGCUGGUUCUCUCCGAAAUAGCUUUAGGGCUAGCCUCGAGGUAAAGAGUCAUGGAGGUAGAGCACUGUUUGGACUAGGGGCCCUUCUCGGGUUACCGAAUUCAGAUAAACUCCGAAUGCCAUGUACUUAUACUCGGGAGUCAGACUGCGAGUGAUAAGAUCCGUAGUCGAAAGGGAAACAGCCCAGACCACCAGUUAAGGUCCCCAAAUAUAUGUUAAGUGGAAAAGGAUGUGGGGUUGCUUAGACAACCAGGAUGUUGGCUUAGAAGCAGCCACCAUUGAAAGAGUGCGUAAUAGCUCACUGGUCGAGUGACCCCGCGCCGAAAAUGUACCGGGGCUAAACAUAUUACCGAAACUGUGGAUGAACCUCUUUAGAGGUUCGUGGUAGGAGAGCGUUCUAAGGGCGGUGAAGUCAGACCGGAAGGACUGGUGGAGCGCUUAGAAGUGAGAAUGCCGGUAUGAGUAGCGAAAGAAGGGUGAGAAUCCCUUCCACCGAAUAUCUAAGGUUUCCUGAGGAAGGCUCGUCCGCUCAGGGUUAGUCGGGACCUAAGCCGAGGCCGAUAGGCGUAGGCGAUGGACAACAGGUAGAGAUUCCUGUACCAGUGCUAAUUGUUUAACCGAUGGGGUGACACAGAAGGAUAGGGAAUCGCACGAAUGGAAAUGUGCGUCCAAGCAGUGAGUGUGAGAAGUAGGCAAAUCCGCUUCUCGCGAAGCAUGAGCUGUGAUGGGGAAGGAAAUUAAGUACGGAAGUUCCUGAUUUCACGCUGUCAAGAAAAGCCUCUAGGAAGAGUAGUACUGCCCGUACCGCAAACCGACACAGGUAGAUGAGGAGAGAAUCCUAAGGUGAGCGAGAGAACUCUCGUUAAGGAACUCGGCAAAAUGACCCCGUAACUUCGGGAGAAGGGGUGCUCUAUUAGGGUGCAAGCCCGAGAGAGCCGCAGUGAAUAGGCCCAGGCGACUGUUUAGCAAAAACACAGGUCUCUGCAAAACCGUAAGGUGACGUAUAGGGGCUGACGCCUGCCCGGUGCUGGAAGGUUAAGAGGAGUGCUUAGCUUCGGCGAAGGUACGAAUUGAAGCCCCAGUAAACGGCGGCCGUAACUAUAACGGUCCUAAGGUAGCGAAAUUCCUUGUCGGGUAAGUUCCGACCCGCACGAAAGGCGCAACGAUCUGGGCACUGUCUCAACGAGAGACUCGGUGAAAUUAUAGUACCUGUGAAGAUGCAGGUUACCCGCGACAGGACGGAAAGACCCCGUGGAGCUUUACUGCAACCUGAUAUGGAAUGUUUGUACCGCUUGUACAGGAUAGGUAGGAGCCGAAGAGACGUGUGCGCUAGCAUACGAGGAGGCAAUGGUGGGAUACUACCCUGGCUGUAUGACCAUUCUAACCCGCCACGCUUAGCGCGUGGGGAGACAGUGUCAGGUGGGCAGUUUGACUGGGGCGGUCGCCUCCUAAAGAGUAACGGAGGCGC